rnacentral:rRNA from 1 species
ACGACCUCCUCGCGGGGGUCACCGUUGACUACGACCUCAGAUCAGACGAGACAACCCGCUGAAUUUAAGCAUAUUACAAAGCGGAGGAAAAGAAACUAACCAGGAUUCCCUCAGUAGCGGCGAGUGAAGAGGGAAGAGC